UACCCGUACCGUUGCUUCGGCGGGCCGGCUCCCGGAGCCGUAGCCCCCCCUUGGGGGACAGCCCGCCGGACGACACCAAAACUCUUGUCUCAUACAGGCCUCUCUGAGAACUUAUACAAAUGAGUCAAAACUUUCAACAACGGAUCUCUUGGUUCUGGCAUCGAUGAAGAACGCAGCGAAAUGCGAUAAGUAAUGUGAAUUGCAGAAUUCAGUGAAUCAUCGAAUCUUUGAACGCACAUUGCGCCCGCUAGUACUCUGGCGGGCAUGCCUGUCCGAGCGUCAUUUCAACCAUCAAGCCCUCGGGCUUGCGUUGGGGCACCGCGGCCGCCGCGGCCCCUGAAAACCAGUGGCGGGCUCGCUGUCACUCCGGGCGCAGUACUAUAUCUCGCUCUGGUUGUGCGGCGGGUGCCGGCCGUUAAACACACCCCUUCAUACCAAGGUUGACCUCGGAUCAGGUAGGAAUACCCGCUGAACUUAAGCAUAUCAAUAAGUCGGAGGAAGGAGCUCAUAAAUGUCUCUCCUCAGUGAAGACAGCUUUUUGAACGUUUGAUCUCAAAUCAGGUAGGACUACCCGCUGAACUUAAGCAUAUCAAUAAGCGGGAGGAA
rnacentral:rRNA from 1 species